ACGGGUGAGUAACGCGUGGGAAUCUACCUAGUUCUACGGAACAACAGAUGGAAACGUCUGCUAAUACCGUAUACGCCCUACGGGGGAAAGAUUUAUCGGAAUUAGAUGAGCCCGCGUAAGAUUAGCUAGUUGGUGGGGUAAUGGCCUACCAAGGCGACGAUCUUUAGCUGGUCUGAGAGGAUGAUCAGCCACACUGGGACUGAGACACGGCCCAGACUCCUACGGGAGGCAGCAGUGGGGAAUAUUGGACAAUGGGCGCAAGCCUGAUCCAGCCAUGCCGCGUGAGUGAUGAAGGCCUUAGGGUUGUAAAGCUCUUUCAGUGGGGAAGAUAAUGACGGUACCCACAGAAGAAGCCCCGGCUAACUUCGUGCCAGCAGCCGCGGUAAUACGAAGGGGGCUAGCGUUGUUCGGAUUUACUGGGCGUAAAGCGCACGUAGGCGGAUUGGUCAGUUAGAGGUGAAAUCCCGAAGCUCAACUUCGGAACUGCCUUUAAUACUGCCAAUCUAGAGUCCGGAAGAGGUGAGUGGAACUCCUAGUGUAGAGGUGGAAUUCGUAGA
rnacentral:rRNA from 2 species